rnacentral:rRNA from 1 species
GAUGAACGCUGGCGGCGUGCCUAAUACAUGCAAGUCGAGCGAACAGACGAGGAGCUUGCUCCUCUGACGUUAGCGGCGGACGGGUGAGUAACACGUGGAUAACCUACCUAUAAGACUGGGAUAACUUCGGGAAACCGGAGCUAAUACCGGAUAAUAUAUUGAACCGCAUGGUUCAAUAGUGAAAGACGGUUUUGCUGUCACUUAUAGAUGGAUCCGCGCCUCAUUAGCUAGUUGGUAAGGUAACGGCUUACCAAGGCAACGAUGCGUAGCCAACCUGAGAGGGUGAUCGGCCACACUGGAACUGAGACACGGUCCAGACUCCUACGGGAGGCGGCAGUAGGGAAUCUUCCGCAAAGGGCGAAAGCCUGACGGAGCAACGCCGCGUGAGUGAUGAAGGUCUUCGGAUCGUAAAACUCUGUUAUUAGGGAAGAACAAAUGUGUAAGUAACUAUGCACGUCUUGACGGUACCUAAUCAGAAAGCCACGGCUAACUACGUG